rnacentral:snRNA from 1 species
AUUGUUUUCCAAAUCAUC